GAUGAACGCUGGCGGCGUGCCUAAUACAUGCAAGUCGAGCGAACAGACGAGGAGCUUGCUCCUCUGACGUUAGCGGCGGACGGGUGAGUAACACGUGGAUAACCUACCUAUAAGACUGGGAUAACUUCGGGAAACCGGAGCUAAUACCGGAUAAUAUAUUGAACCGCAUGGUUCAAUAGUGAAAGACGGUUUUGCUGUCACUUAUAGAUGGAUCCGCGCCGCAUUAGCUAGUUGGUAAGGUAACGGCUUACCAAGGCAACGAUGCGUAGCCGACCUGAGAGGGUGAACGGCCACACUGGAACUAAAACACGGUCCAGACUCCAACGGGAGGCAGCAGUAGGGAAUCUUCCGCAAUGGGCGAAAGCUUGCCGGAGCAACGCCGCGAGAGUGAUGAAGGUCUUCGGAUCGUAAAACUCUGUUAUUAGGGAAGAACAAAUGUGUAAGUAACUAUGCACGUCUUGACGGUACCUAAUCAGAAAGCCACGGCUAACUACGUG
rnacentral:rRNA from 1 species